rnacentral:rRNA from 1 species
GAUGAACGCUGGCGGCGUGCUUAACACAUGCAAGUCGAGCGGGCAAUUUAUCUAGCACUGAUUACUUCAAAUGGAAAUCAUAAGUGUAAUCAUGAAUUUCUACCUUUAAUAAAGAAAAAAGAAAUUCAUGUACGCAAAUAGUGAUAACACAUUUUAGUGGAGUGAUGAGUGCUGGAUAAAUUGCUAGCGGCGGACGGGUGCGUAACACGUGGGUAACCUGCCCCUAUCACUGGGAUAACACACUGAAAAGUGUGCUAAUACCAGAUAAUAUAAGCUUUUGGCAUCAUUAGCUUAUCAAAGAAUUUCGGAUAGGGAUGGGCCCGCGUCUGAUUAGCUAGUUGGUGAGGUAACGGCUCACCAAGGCAACGAUCAGUAGCCGACCUGAGAGGGUGAUCGGCCACACUGGAACUGAGACACGGUCCAGACUCCUACGGGAGGCAGCAGUGGGAAUAUUGCACAAUGGGC